UACGUAGGGGGCUAGCGUUGUCCGGAAUCAUUGGGCGUAAAGAGCGCGUAGGCGGCCAGAUAAGUCCGGUGUGAAAGUCACAGGCUCAACCUGUGAAUGCCGCUGGAAACUGUCUGGCUAGAGUCCGGAAGGGGCGACUGGAAUUCCUGGUGUAGCGGUGAAAUGCGCAGAUAUCAGGAGGAACACCGAUGGCGAAGGCAGGUCUCUGGGCCAUAACUGACGCUGAGAAGCGAAAGCAUGGGGAGCGAACAGG
rnacentral:rRNA from 1 species